UACGGGAGGUGCGAGCGUUGUUCGGAAUGACUGGGCGUAAAGCGCACGUAGGCGGGUCUUUAAGUCGCAUGUGAAAGCCCCGGGCUUAACCUGGGAAUCGCAUACGAAACUGAAGAUCUUGAAUACCUGAGAGGUUCAUGGAAUUCUUGGUGUAGGAGUGAAAUCCGUAGAUAUCAAGAGGAACACCGGAGGCGAAGGCGGUGAACUGGUGGUGUAUUGACGCUGAGGUGCGAAAGCGUGGGUAGCAAACAGG
rnacentral:rRNA from 1 species